CCCUAUUAUACCAGAGGAUAAUAGGAAAAAGCUAGAGUAGUAAGAGUAAAUGAGCUCGAAAUUCAAAGAAUUUGGCGGUAUUUUAGUCUAGUUGGAGGAACCUGUUUUAUAAACGAUACACCACGUAAAAUUUUUCUUAUUCUUGUAAAGUUAGUAUACCUUCAUUAUUAGAUAAUAUUGAGAGAUAUUGUUGGAAUCAAAGUUUUUGAGUAUAUUAGAUCACGGUGCUGCCUAUGAAUAAGUAUAAAUGGGUUACAAUAAAAAUUUAUUUAGACGGAGCUAGGAGUUAAAUUCCUAGUGAAGGGGGAUUCAAUUGUAAUCUAGAAUUUAGUAAGGCUAGAUGGUAAUAGCUCUAGAAUGUGU
rnacentral:rRNA from 1 species